GGAGUUGGUGGUGGAUUUGGCAAAGGUGGAGGACUUGGUGGAGGGCUUGGGGCUGGUGGGGGUGGGGGUGGGGGUGGCGGUGGCCUCGGUGGAGGUGGAGGUGGGGGAGGGGGUGCUGGCUUUGGCGGCGGAGCUGGCUUUGGUGCUGGUGGUGGAGGUGGACACUAGUAAUACACAUUGCGUGAAUAAUAUCUCAAAGUACUUAAAAGUCCUAAUCAUUUCACUCCAAAUAUCCAGCUUCCUGUUUAUGAUUUUUGUUUUCCCUUUUUGUUUAAUGAAGUGUUAUAUUAAGGAUUAAUUUGUUUGCUGAUUUGCCAUCGUAAAGUCUUUUUUCUUUUGUUCAGAAAACUAGUGGUAAUGUCAUUGUUGAAAUAUAAAUUGUGUUAUCUUAUAGUGCAUGCAUGCGUAUCAAAAUUAAGCACAUUGUAAGAUGGAUAUGUUAUCUAAUGCAAAUAAAAUUGU
rnacentral:lncRNA from 1 species